GACGAACGCUGGCGGCGUGCUUAACACAUGCAAGUCGAACGGAAAGGCCCUGCUAUUGUGGGGUGCUCGAGUGGCGAACGGGUGAGUAACACGUGAGUAACCUGCCCUUGACUUUGGGAUAACUUCAGGAAACUGGGGCUAAUACCGGAUAGGAGCUCCUGCUGCAUGGUGGGGGUUGGAAAGUUUCGGCGGUUGGGGAUGGACUCGCGGCUUAUCAGCUUGUUGGUGGGGUAGUGGCUUACCAAGGCUUUGACGGGUAGCCGGCCUGAGAGGGUGACCGGCCACAUUGGGACUGAGAUACGGCCCAGACUCCUACGGGAGGCAGCAGUGGGGAAUAUUGCACAAUGGGCGGAAGCCUGAUGCAGCAACGCCGCGUGCGGGAUGACGGCCUUCGGGUUGUAAACCGCUUUCGCCUGUGACGAAGCGUGAGUGACGGUAAUGGGUAAAGAAGCACCGGCUAACUACGUG
rnacentral:rRNA from 1 species